CCCGAGCCCUGAGUUCUGAAUCGGAGCGGCGGCGGCGUAGUGCAACGCGGUCGCGCGUUCCCCUACGCGCACGCGAGAGGCGAGCCCGUCUCAGCCGCGUAUCUCCUCUUCCUCCUCCCUCCCCGACGAUGUGUGUCUCCGUCGAGCCACCUUCCUCAACCUCCGCGCCACGCACGCAACUAGCCCACCAGCCGCGUCGUUUCCCCACCCUCCUCGCUCCGCCCCACCUCCUAGGCUGCUCGCCUCCUCGGCGUAUCACAAAAAACUGAAACCGCCGGCACCCACCAACAAGCGGUCUUGAUGGCUGACAUUAAAAACCGAGCAGAUUUCAUGGAUGUCGAGCUCUUCACCAUGAAACGUCGUUCGAUUUGUUUUCUUAGUCCUCCCCUGAAAUCUUCAACCUCAGACUUCACCUUGAACACACCCAAGGGGGUGUAUAUUAACCUCCCGAAGAAUUAAGAAAGGAGGGAUUGGUUUUGUUUCGGCUCUACUUCAAGUUUCUACCGUCAGCGUUAAACAGGAUUGAAAUUUAUUUAGUAUAUACACUUCACUAAAGGAGACAAUUCAUGGUAUGAGGAUCACUGGUAUGUAUACUAAUUUUACAUCACGCUGCAUACCUGCACCGAUAGUUCAUUUUAAUUCUGAAUUCCGGAUGCAAAUUGCUUACUAUCGUUGUAACAGCUGCUGGAGCAAUCUAUAUAUACAUUGGGUAAUCAUAAUUGCCUCAUAUUCAUUCUUGGUCACAUGAUUUCUAUAUAUUAUUAUAUGCCCAUCCUGCGACACAUGCUGUGCAAGAGGUACAAGUAAUUCCUUCCAUAACAACAGUCUAGCUAUUUUUAUACACAUUGAUCCCUAAUUUUUUAUAUGUCUAUCCAGAUUCUUAUUUGGUAUAUGAUGAUCCUACUUUACACCCAUAUAACUUAAUUUUUCAUUUCUUUUCUGGCUAGAGUAUAAAGAAUGCUCUUUGUAAUAGCAAAAUUGAAUAGUUUGUCAAAUAUUGGGUUUUUCAUCAAGGCCAUCCGACUAUUUAUCUUCAGUUUUAUGGAUCUUUCAAUCCAAAAUACUACAAGUUGUUUUUUUUCUGUUGACAGAAAUUUUCAGCACUAAGACAUAUUGGUAUCCUAAGAAACAGAUAAAAUUAAGAUGGAUCUUCAACAAGAACCAUCCAGCAGGUUAUCACUGCUCACCAAUUAAGAAAUGUUAUUACAUUCUUUUCUCUAUUACUCUAUUCCUGGUGCCUUGCAUUCCAUGCACCAUCAUUUUCUUUUCUUGAGGGUAAUUUUUACCCGGCCUCUAUAUCCAACCGGUGAACCGAAUAUAUGCAGACUUUUAAAUUGGGAGCUUAAUCCCUCAAAUAAUACAAUCUGAAAUUCACUCCUAUAAAAAUUUGAAGUCGAGACCUUAGGUGUUACUCGGGUCACUGCAUGUCUAUACUUUGCCAUUUAUUGCGCUUUCCUUCAGGAAUCCCCAAACUUUCAAACAAGAUAUGCUGCUCAUUUUUCAUUUGUGCGUUCUUCACAAGUGAACGUGGAUGCAGUUGCUCAAGCGAAUUCUUCUACAAGCCCAACAAUUUCGUUAAUUGCCAAGCAAAUCUACAAGUGGAGACCUCAACAAACUGAGCUUUUAACAUUUCUUACAUAAAAAAUGGAUUACCUCAAAUGCAGGUCAUUCUAA